rnacentral:rRNA from 1 species
UGGGGAAUAUUGGACAAUGGGGGAAACCCUGAUCCAGCGACGCCGCGUGUGUGAAGAAGGCCUGCGGGUUGUAAAGCACUUUUAGUGGGGAUGAAAAGUGCAGAGCUAACACCUCUGCAUCUUGACCUAACCCACAGAAAAAGCACCGGCUAACUCUGUGCCAGCAGCCGCGGUAAUACAGAGGGUGCAAGCGUUAAUCGGAAUUACUGGGCGUAAAGCGUGCGUAGACGGUCAUGUAAGUCGGGUGUGAAAGCCCCGGGCUCAACCUGGGAAUUGCAUUCGAGACUGCAUGGCUAGGGUGCGGAAGAGGGAAGCGGAAUUUCCGGUGUAGCGGUGAAAUGCGUAGAUAUCGGAAGGAACACCAGUGGCGAAAGCGGCUUCCUGGUCCAGCACCGACGUUCAGGCACGAAAGCGUGGGGAGCAAACA